rnacentral:rRNA from 1 species
UGAGGAAUAUUGGUCAAUGGGCGAGAGCCUGAACCAGCCAAGUCGCGUGCAGGAAGAAUGUCCUAUGGAUUGUAAACUGCUUUUGCAGGGGAAUAAAGUUCAGCACGUGUGCUGUUUUGUAUGUACUCUGCGAAUAAGGAUCGGCUAACUCCGUGCCAGCAGCCGCGGUAAUACGGAGGAUCCGAGCGUUAUCCGGAUUUAUUGGGUUUAAAGGGUGCGUAGGCGGGUUAAUAAGUCAGUGGUGAAAGUUUGCAGCUUAACUGUAAAAUUGCCGUUGAAACUGUUAAUCUUGAGUGUAGAUAAGGUAGGCGGAAUGUGUUUUGUAGCGGUGAAAUGCAUAGAUAUAACACAGAACCCCGAUUGCGAAGGCAGCUUACCGGGCUACCACUGACGCUGAUGCACGAAAGCGUGGGGAUCAAACAG